GUAACGGCGAGUGAAGCGGCAACAGCUCAAUUUGAAAUCUGGCUCUUUCAGAGUCCGAGUUGUAAUUUGCAGAGGGCGCUUUGGCUUUGGCAGCGGUCCAAGUUCCUUGGAACAGGACGUCACAGAGGGUGAGAAUCCCGUACGUGGUCGCUAGCUAUUGCCGUGUAAAGCCCCUUCGACGAGUCGAGUUGUUUGGGAAUGCAGCUCUAAAUGGGAGGUAAAUUUCUUCUAAAGCUAAAUAUUGGCCAGAGACCGAUAGCGCACAAGUAGAGUGAUCGAAAGAUGAAAAGCACUUUGGAAAGAGAGUCAAACAGCACGUGAAAUUGUUGAAAGGGAAGCGCUUGCAGCCAGACUUGCUUGCAGUUGCUCAUCCGGGCUUUUGCCCGGUGCACUCUUCUGCAGGCAGGCCAGCAUCAGUUUGGGCGGUGGGAUAAAGGUCUCUGACACGUUCCUUCCUUCGGGUUGGCCAUAUAGGGGAGACGUCAUACCACCAGCCUGGACUGAGGUCCGCGCAUCUGCUAGGAUGCUGGCGUAAUGGCUGUAAGCGGCCCGUCUUGAAACACGGACCAAGGAGUCUAACAUCUAUGCGAGUGUUUGGGUGUCAAGCCCGAGCGCGUAAUGAAAGUGAACGGAGGUGGGAACCCGCAAGGGUGCACCAUCGACCGAUCCUGAAGUUUACGGAAGGAUUUGAGUAAGAGCAUGGCUGUUGGGACCCGAAAGAUGGUGAACUAUGCUUGAAUAGGGUGAAGCCAGAGGAAACUCUGGUGGAGGCUCGCAGCGGUUCUGACGUGCAAAUCGAUCGUCAAAUUUGGGCAUAGGGGCGAAAGACUAAUCGAACUAUCUAGUAGCUGGUUCCUGCCGAAGUUUCCCUCAGGAUAGCAGUAACGUAUUCAGUUUUAUGAGGUAAAGCGAAUGAUUAGAGGCAUGGGGGUUGAAACAACCUUCACCUAUUCUCAAACUUUAAAUAUGUAAGAAGCCCUUUGUUACUUAAUUGAACGCGGGCAUUUGAAUGAAACGUUAUUAGUGGGCCAUUUUUGGUAAGCAGAACUGGCGAUGCGGGAUGAACCGAACGAGGGGUUACGGUGCCGGAGUACACGCUCAUCAGACACCACAAAAGGUGUUGGUUCAUCUAGACAGCAGGACGGUGGCCAUGGAAGUCGGAAUCCGCUAAGGAGUGUGUAACAACUCACCUGCCGAAUGAACUAGCCCUGAAAAUGGAUGGCGCUCAAGCGUGUCACCUAUACCCCUCCGCCGGGGCAAAAUUUACGCCCCGGCGAGUAGGCAGGCGUGGAGGCUCGUGACGAA
rnacentral:rRNA from 1 species